rnacentral:rRNA from 1 species
UGGGGAAUAUUGCGCAAUGGGCGAAAGCCUGACGCAGCGACGCCGCGUGAGGGAUGAAGGUUUUCGGAUCGUAAACCUCUGUCAGAGGGGAAGAAACUACAUCGUGCUAAUCAGCAGUGUACUGACGGUACCUUCAAAGGAAGCACCGGCUAACUCCGUGCCAGCAGCCGCGGUAAUACGGAGGGUGCAAGCGUUAAUCGGAAUUACUGGGCGUAAAGCGCACGUAGGCUGUAGUGUAAGUCAGGGGUGAAAUCCCACGGCUCAACCGUGGAACUGCCUUUGAUACUGCACAACUUGAAUCCGGGAGAGGGUGGCGGAAUUCCAGGUGUAGGAGUGAAAUCCGUAGAUAUCUGGAGGAACAUCAGUGGCGAAGGCGGCCACCUGGACCGGUAUUGACGCUGAGGUGCGAAAGCGUGGGGAGCAAACAG